AUUGAACGCUGGCGGCAGGCCUAACACAUGCAAGUCGAGCGAGCGGCGGACGGGUGAGUAAUGUAUGGGGACUGCCCGAUAGAGGGGGAUAACUACUGGCAACGGUAGCUAAUACCGCAUACUAUAGUAUAACCCCUAUGGGAUUAGCUCGUGGGGGAGGUAAUGGCUCACCUAGGCGACGAUCCCUAGCUGGUCUGAGAGGAUGAACAGCCACACUGGGACUGAGCCACGGCCCAGACUCCUACGGAGGCAGCAGUGGGGAAUAUUGCACAAUGGGCGCAAGCCUGAUGCAGCCAUGCCGCGUGUAUGAAGAAGGCCUUCGGGUUGUAAAGUACUUUCAGCGGGGAGGCGUUACCCACAGAAGAAGCACCGGCUAACUCCGGGCCAGCAGCCGCGGUAAUUC
rnacentral:rRNA from 1 species